rnacentral:lncRNA from 1 species
UAGCCUAAGUUGACAUUCAGUCACAAACAUUCAUAUGUACUAGGCCCAGUAAGUCACUCAUUCUUUCUCCAUAUCCAGUAAAUGAAGUCUUGGAUAUUUUAUCUAUAAGAUAAGAUUCAUAAGUUCCAUAUGACUCAAAAUUAUAAGGAUCAAAAAAUUUUUCUUUGUAUAACUUGUUAAUCCUUGACUCAUUGAUAUAACCAAGUCGAUAGUGCCAG